UACGGGGGGGGCAAGCGUUGUUCGGAAUUACUGGGCGUAAAGGGCUCGUAGGCGGCCAACUAAGUCAGACGUGAAAUCCCUCGGCUUAACCGGGGAACUGCGUCUGAUACUGGAUGGCUUGAGUUUGGGAGAGGGAUGCGGAAUUCCAGGUGUAGCGGUGAAAUGCGUAGAUAUCUGGAGGAACACCAGCGGCGAAGGCGGCGCUCUGGGCCGGUACUGACACUGAGGAGCGAAAGCGUGGGUAGCAAACAGG
rnacentral:rRNA from 1 species